CCUACGGGAGGCAGCAGUGAGGAAUAUUGGUCAAUGGCCGUAAGGCUGAACCAGCCAAGUCGCGUGAAGGAAGAAGGAUCUAUGGUUUGUAAACUUCUUUUAUAGGGGAAUAAAGGUAUCCACGUGUGGAUAUUUGCAUGUACCCUAUGAAUAAGCAUCGGCUAACUCCGUGCCAGCAGCCGCGGUAAUACGGAGGAUGCGCGCGUUAUCCGGAUUUAUUGGGUUUAAAGGGUGCGUAGGUGGUUUUUUAAGUCAGCGGUGAAAGUUUGUGGCUCAACCAUAAAAUUGCCGUUGAAACUGGAAGACGUGAGUGUGUGUGAGGUAGGCGGAAUGCGUGGUGUAGCGGUGAAAUGCAGAGAUAUCACGAAGAACUCCGAUUGCGAAGGCAGCUUACUAAGCCAUAACUGACACUGAAGCACGAAAGCGUGGGGAUCAAACAGGAUUAGAUACCCGAGUAGUC
rnacentral:rRNA from 1 species